GGGGCCAUAGCUCAGCUGGGAGAGCACAUGCUUUGCACGCAGGGGGUCAGCGGUUCGAUCCCGCUUGGCUCCACCA
rnacentral:tRNA from 1 species